rnacentral:rRNA from 1 species
AGUGAACGCUGGCGGUAGGCCUAACACAUGCAAGUCGAACGGCAGCACAGUAAGAGCUUGCUCUUACGGGUGGCGAGUGGCGGACGGGUGAGGAAUACAUCGGAAUCUACUUUUUCGUGGGGGAUAACGUAGGGAAACUUACGCUAAUACCGCAUACGACCUACGGGUGAAAGCAGGGGAUCUUCGGACCUUGCGCGAUUGAAUGAGCCGAUGUCGGAUUAGCUAGUUGGCGGGGUAAAGGCCCACCAAGGCGACGAUCCGUAGCUGGUCUGAGAGGAUGAUCAGCCACACUGGAACUGAGGCACGGUCCAGACUCCUACGGGAGGCAGCAGUGGGGAAUAUUGGACAAUGGGCGCAAGCCUGAUCCAGCCAUACCGCGUGGGUGAAGAAGGCCUUCGGGUUGUAAAGCCCUUUUGUUGGGAAAGAAAAGCAGCAGGUUAAUACCCCGCUGUUCUGACGGUACCCAAAGAAUAAGCAUCGGCUAACUUCGUG